GACGAACCGAGCGAACGUUAUUCGGAAUCACUGGGCUUAAAGGGCGCGUAGGCGGGCCGCCAAGUCAGGGGUGAAAGCCCCCAGCUCAACUGGGGAAGUGCCUUUGAUACUGGCGGUCUCGAGGGGGAUAGGGGCGUGCGGAACUUCCGGUGGAGCGGUGAAAUGCGUAGAUAUCGGAAGGAACACCGGUGGCGAAAGCGGCGCGCUGGAUCCCUUCUGACGCUGAGGCGCGAAAGCCAGGGGAGCGAACGGG
rnacentral:rRNA from 1 species